rnacentral:rRNA from 1 species
CCUACGGGUGGCAGCAGUGGGGAAUAUUGGACAAUGGGGGGAACCCUGAUCCAGCCAUGCCGCGUGUGUGAAGAAGGCCCUCGGGUUGUAAAGCACUUUCAGUGAGGAAGAACGCCUGGUGGUUAAUACCCAUCAGGAAAGACAUCACUCACAGAAGAAGCACCGGCUAACUCCGUGCCAGCAGCCGCGGUAAUACGGAGGGUGCGAGCGUUAAUCGGAAUUACUGGGCGUAAAGCGCGCGUAGGUGGCUUGAUAAGCCGGUUGUGAAAGCCCCGGGCUCAACCUGGGAACGGCAUCCGGAACUGUCAAGCUAGAGUGCAGGAGAGGAAGGUAGAAUUCCCGGUGUAGCGGUGAAAUGCGUAGAGAUCGGGAGGAAUACCAGUGGCGAAGGCGGCCUUCUGGACUGACACUGACACUGAGGUGCGAAAGCGUGGGUAGCAAACGGGAUUAGAUACCCGAGUAGUC